CCUACGGGUGGCAGCAGUGGGGGAUAUUGGACAAUGGGGGAAACCCUGAUCCAGCGACGCCGCGUGAGUGAGGAAGUAUUGAGGUAUGUAAAGCUCUAUCAGCAGGGAAGAAAGAAAUGACGGUACCUGAGUAAGAAGCCCCGGCUAACUACGUGCCAGCAGCCGCGGUAAUACGUAGGGGGAAAGCGUUAUCCGGAAUUACUGGGUGUAAAGGGAGCGUAGACGGUAAUGCAAGUCUGGAGUCAAAGGCGGGGGCCCAACCCACGGACUGCUCUGGAAACUGUGUAACUGGAGUGCUGGAGAGGCAGGCGGAAGUCCUAGUGUAGCGGUGAAAUGCGUAGAUAUUAGGAGGAACACCAGUGGCGAAGGCGGCCUGCUGGACUGUAACUGACGUUGAGUCUCGAAUGCGUGGGUAUCGAACAGGAUUAGAUACCCCGGUAGUC
rnacentral:rRNA from 1 species